UGGGGGAUAUUGCACAAUGGAGGAAACUCUGAUGCAGCGACGCCGCGUGAGUGAAGAAGUAUUUCGGUAUGUAAAGCUCUAUCAGCAGGGAAGAUAAUGACAGUACCUGACUAAGAAGCCCCGGCUAACUACGUGCCAGCAGCCGCGGUAAUACGUAGGGGGCAAGCGUUAUCCGGAUUUACUGGGUGUAAAGGGAGCGUAGACGGAACGGCAAGUUUGAAGUGAAAUACCCGGGCUUAACCCGGGAACUGCUUUGAAAACUGUCGAUCUAGAGUGUCGGAGAGGUAAGUGGGAUUCCUGGUGUAGUAGUGAAAUGCGUAGAUAUCAGGAAGAAC
rnacentral:rRNA from 1 species